rnacentral:rRNA from 1 species
CCUACGGGAGGCAGCAGUGGGGAAUUUUGGACAAUGGGCGCAAGCCUGAUCCAGCAAUGCCGCGUGCAGGAUGAAGGCCUUCGGGUUGUAAACUGCUUUUGUACGGAGCGAAACGGUCUGCUUUAAUACAGUAGGCUAAUGACGGUACCGUAAGAAUAAGCACCGGCUAACUACGUGCCAGCAGCCGCGGUAAUACGUAGGGUGCGAGCGUUAAUCGGAAUUACUGGGCGUAAAGCGUGCGCAGGCGGUUAUAUAAGACAGAUGUGAAAUCCCCGGGCUCAACCUGGGACCUGCAUUUGUGACUGUAUAGCUAGAGUACGGUAGAGGGGGAUGGAAUUCCGCGUGUAGCAGUGAAAUGCGUAGAUAUGCGGAGGAACACCGAUGGCGAAGGCAAUCCCCUGGACCUGUACUGACGCUCAUGCACGAAAGCGUGGGGAGCAAACAGGAUUAGAUACCCUGGUAGUCCACGCCCUAAACGAUGUCAACUGGUUGUUGGGUCUUCACUGACUCAGUACGAAGCUAACGCGUGAAGUUGACCGCCGUGGGAGGUACGGCCGGCGAGGUUAGUAAACGUUAAAGGUAAAGUUAGUACGGCGUGAGACGUAGACCGACGGACGACGACGAGGGGAGGUUAGGG